rnacentral:rRNA from 1 species
UACGUAGGGUGCAAGCGUUGUCCGGAAUUAUUGGGCGUAAAGAGCUCGUAGGCGGUUUGUCGCGUCUGCUGUGAAAACCCGAGGCUCAACCUCGGGCCUGCAGUGGGUACGGGCAGACUAGAGUGCGGUAGGGGAGAUUGGAAUUCCUGGUGUAGAGGUGGAAUGCGCAGAUAUCAGGAGGAACACCGAUGGCGAAGGCAGAUCUCUGGGCCGUAACUGACGCUGAGGAGCGAAAGCAUGGGGAGCGAACAGG